AUUAACUAUUCCUGGUAAAUCGCGGAGAAGAGUGGCCUGAACAAAAAAGUCAGACCGAGACUAGAACCUCCCGCAGCGUAACACGGAAAUCUUGGAACAAAAGAGACGCCGACUGGCUCGUGUUGUCCGGUUUGGAUAUCAGAGGCAAAGCGAACGUUGUGUGUACUAUUGCAAAAUAUAUAGCGGAUCUCCACGGUUAGGAUACAGACCACAACGCUUUGGACGUAUCUUUAAAAAAGAUUAAAAUCAGAGACUUUUUUGGAUUUGUCUGGGGACAUUUUAAACAUUUUGUGGCAAAUUGGAUUUAAAACAUUUCGGAUACUGGAUACCUAGUUUGAUCUGUCCACAGAGCUUGUUUAAGACGUUUUCACCGCAUU